rnacentral:rRNA from 2 species
AGCGAAAGCUAGUUGUAUUAUUAGUUAAUGCAAGAUCGACUACGUCGACUAAAGUUCUAGGUAGAAUAAUGAUGAUGACAAUUUUUUACCUAUAUGUCUUGACCAAGUCUCGUGCCAGCAGUCGCGGUAAUACGUGGAAGACUAGUGUUAUUCAUCUUUAUUAGGUUUAAAGGGUACCUAGACGGUAUUUCUAGCCCAAAAUAGGGUACGGAUUUACUAGAGUUUUAUGUGAGGAGGGGAGUACUCGUGGAGUAGAGAUGAAAUUUUGUUAUACUAUGAGGUAACUGGUGGCGGCGAAAGCAACCUUCUAUGUAUAAACUGACGUUGAGGGACGAAGGCUUGGGUAGCAAAUAGGAUUAGAUACCCUAGUAGUCCAAGCAGACAAUUCUGAAUGCCAUAGAUUAGAUUAUUUUUGAUCUAUAAAUGAAAGUGUAAGCAUUCCACCUUAGGAGUAAUGUGGCAACACAGGAACUGAAAUCAUUAGACCGUUUCUGAAACCAGUAGUGAAGUAUGUUAUUUAAUUUGAUGGUCCACAAAAAACCUUACCACAACUUGAAUAUUUUUUAAUUAAUACAAGCGUUGCACGGCUGUCUUCAGUUAAUGUCGUGAGAUUUUGGUUAACUCCAUUAAUUAACGUAAACCCUUACUUUAUUUA